AUGUGAUGUAACAGGACAUUAUGCAAAUCCCUACUGGUAUCUUGCUAUUAUGUCUUUUCCAUUAAUGUGAAAGAACACAAAAAACAAAAGGAAAAGCUGGCUGUAGAAGAAUUAUGCAUUUGACUGCAUAUAAAGUAAUUCAUGAAAACAAUUUUGUAUGCAUUUAUACCUUUACAGAUAAAACAGUUUUACUUUUUCCUUCAUUCAUGCAUUUAAUUUAAUGAUUUUGAAAGAUGCAGAUGGAAUAGUAACAGUUAUAUAAUUUUCAUUUUGCCAACAGGUUUCUUGCAAGAGUGUUCUGAAAAACACGGAGUCAUUUCAGUCAAUGAGUUGUUGUUCUCCCCCUCACCACAUUUCUGUGGUCACUGUCACCAGUGGAAAUCACAAGCUCGUUAUCAUUACUUGAACUGGCCUACACCAAUUCCCUUGAUCCAGUGGACUGAUGAUCAUUAGUAUCCUGCUUUCUUCAUGCCCCAGUCAAGGUAGAAUGGGAAAAUACAGUUUUCUGCUCUCUGUGAAAAGGUGAGAAUAUAUCCUUGGAACAUAUAAUAAUGUCAAUACCACCCAAUUAUUAUGCUUCAUUAGAAAUGUUAAUUUUUUUUGCAUUAAGAUAAAUUUGCUAUUACGGGUAUUGUAAUAUACUCUGCAGAUUUGCUGUUCAAGUGCACUGCUCUUCUUAUCUUAAUUCGUAUGGAAAUCAGUUAAAAUUGUGUCGUUAAAGUUUGUUUUGUCUGCCCACCACAGUCGCAGGCAGUUUUUCAGUCCCACUGUCAACAGUGCCAAAGGAGAUGCCUUCGGGAGUUAAGCGGGCUGAAGCUCCCGAGGCAGCAGGUCCCCAUCUCUUUGCUGUCUUGGGGGUGACAUGUGAGACAAAGUCAGCGCAGCCCUGAAGCAGCAGCGAGGGAGCGCCGUGUGCUCGGGCAGCCCCGGUGCAGCACAAAGGACAGAG
rnacentral:lncRNA from 1 species